rnacentral:rRNA from 1 species
UACGUAGGGACCAAGCGUUGUUCGGAUUUACUGGGCGUAAAGGGCGCGUAGGCGGCGUGUUAAGUCACUUGUGAAAUCUCUAAGCUUAACUUAGAACGGUCAAGUGAUACUGAUGUGCUAGAGUGCAGAAGGGGCAACCGGAAUUCUUGGUGUAGCGGUGAAAUGCGUAGAUAUCAAGAGGAACACCUGAGGUGAAGACGGGUUGCUGGGCUGACACUGACGCUGAGGCGCGAAAGCCAGGGGAGCGAACGGG